rnacentral:sRNA from 1 species
UAUGAGAUAAGCACUCCCUAUCGGUCCA